AAACAUAUUUAUAAUCUUAUUACAAUUUUGUUAUUAUCAAUUAAAUAUAAACAUAAAAGGAAAUAGAAACACAAAAGGCACGUGACCUCCCAUAUGUCUUAUCUCAAUCUCAUCCACAAGAAGGCGACUGCCCAUGUGGUAAAGUGCAAAAGAAGGAAAAGCUUGGCUCUUUUCGGCUUCGCUCCUGACUGCUGUGGCGGCUUCCUUCUUGCAAUUGCAUUACUAAAUCAAGCAAAGCAAGCCCAUUUCACUUCUAACCCAACCCAACCUCGCGCUCUCCCAUCGCCACCACCGCCUCUCAUAUACUUAUAUACAUGGAAAUGCCUCUGGUGAAUCGAAACUAUGGUCAUUUGGGUCCAACUCCGAUUCUGAGGAGUGACUCGUUACUUGGAUACACAGAACAGAGCUCGUUGAUGAUGGAGAAGAGACAGUUGUUCCUGAGAAGCUACCAGUUCUGCAGAAAAAAGAGCCUUACAGAAAGAAUGAAGACAUCUUUGGUCGGAGUGAAGAAAGUUAUAUGGCUGAAACUGCGAUCUGCUUGUAAACUUCGAAGGUUGUUGUGGUCUGGACUUCGUUAUUCAUUCUACUUCCGCCGCAGAAGAACUUUUUUACGUUUCCGUAGUCCUAAUCACCAUUACUACUCUUUCUCCUCUCCUUCUUCUUCUUCCUGCUUCUCGUAGGAGUUCUACAGUUUCUCACUUCGUUUCUUUCUGCUUCUCCCUGUUUUCUGGAUACCCUGUUUCUGUUUAUGAUGAUAUCUGUAAUAUGUCUAGCCCAGAAAAGCUUUAAAAUCUGUAUUUAAAUUUAUGUCAACUUGUUUGCAACAUGCGAGAUGUUUUAAACUAGUAAAUUACUCUCCAACUCUGUAUUCUAUCAAGAAAAUUCUCAAUUGUUGCAAUACGAAGUUUAUUAUUAGUUUCAA